GUGCAUCUCCACACAGGUCAGACUUGGGUACCCAACACCCCAGAGGAUUUCUUUCUUCCUAUGUCCUGCCUGCAAUUUCCUACCUCCAUGCCUGGAGGACAGUAUGGCAUGCCCUGAUAUGCUAAAAGGAACAAGAAAGUGAUCAAAAAGUCAUUACAAUGGGAAGGAAGAAGGAACCUGAAGACAUGAGACUGUCACUUUAGCAUCAUGAUUAUUCCGGCUGAAAGCAAUAGAGAAGGAGACAAGAAAAGCUGCCCUCUUCCCUCCUGUCAAAGAGACAGGAUGUUUCCAAGGAGUUUAUCUUUCUGUCUCUACCAGAAAGGACGAAGACUGGUUACCAAAGUAGGCACUUACCGAAGGUGCCUAGGCCCUUCUCCAUGCAGAGCCACAGCACACACCAGACCCCACUGCAGCAGCACCUGUGAAGGCACCUGACUGGAACCUGAAUGAAGAAUCUGCUUGAGUUCACCUCGAACACUACUUGUUGUGCAUUGCUGUUGAAGGAGCACUGUGCCGUGAGCCAAGUCUCUACUCCUUCAAGCUAUGUGACCAGCUCCUCAAGAGACAGGGCCUGCUUCCAGAGUAUACCAGCUAAGGAGGAACUAGAGUUGUCUCCAGACCAGUUUCACAAAACUCACAAACUCCACAAGACUUUUUAAUAGCCAGUCACCAACUCCAGUCACCAGCCUUGUGACCACAGCCAGGUACAGUUCUUAUCUUCUAGCUUGGGAGUUGGGUAGAGGAGAAAUAGCAUUGAUAACCUUGGGCCACCACAGCUGUCACCUAUAAACUAUUAAAGGAUCAAUUCCCUGGAGGAAGAAGUACCCAGCUAUUCAAACAAAUUAGAUGCCAGAGUGGACUGUUUUUCAGCUGCUUUAUGGAUUGGAAGAUUCAGAAACAGUGAAGGUCCAAGCUCCCCGAAAGCAUUUGCUCAAAUUCCAUUCCCCCAUCCUAUCCAAGACCUGGACUUUGGGGUGUACUGAAACAGCAGCCUGGAGCCAUAGACCCAGAGUGUGAUCAGUCCUGCUUAACUAAGCUUAAACUUCCCACAAGAGCAAAGAGUCGGCCUAGAUGAGGGUGACCUGAGAAUUUGAAACAGUUAACUCUGACCACACCUACAAGCUUCAAGUGUCUCCCAUGUGGGAAACGGAUUCUAAGAACUCUAAUGGGUAAGCAUUUUUCAUAAGUAGUAUUAUCUUUAGACACUUUCAAAUUGUUUCCCAAUACCUUGGGCUCCCUGGAACAAUAGGUCUAAGUUCUGCUUACAUCCUCCUCUAACCACACCUAAAAUGGACUUUUUUACUUGGCUAUAUCAAGACUCCACAAAGAGUCAAAAGCCUCUCACUUGGCUAAAGCAUGUAAUACCAGCUCCCUGAAUGCAGAUUGAUGGGAAAGGGGUCUUGAUAGUCAGGUCAUGUCACCUUUAACAAAUUCCUCCAAAGCAACUAGCAAUAGCCUUUCCCAGCCGGAGAAGUUUUAGUUCACCUGGUACUAGUAUCUGUCACUUAAUUGUCACCUUUUUCCAUUUAACUUGAGACUUUUCCAUUGCUUAGUGCUCCUCUGAGCUGCUUGUUACAAGAAUGAAAAUAGUUGUCUUCAACUAAGGGAAGUUGCAGGUACCUUGUGUUACAGAGACAGCUAUGGCCAGUCCCCUAGUGUGACCCCUGGCCUCUGGCAUUGAGAGGCUCCAGGCAGAAUCCUGAAGAAUGAAUAGAACCUAAAGUGCUCUUGGCACAAGUGGGGAAUUUCAAUUAAGCCCACCCUAACAUAGUCGAGUUUUGAGCUAAGGAGCCGAGUCUCAGGUAAGCUGUAGAGGACAUAACAGAUUGAGCUGGGUGGAACCCCGUGGCCAGAGAAUAGUAUGCGUACCAGGCCAAAGCUCAGAGCAGCAGCCACACAGAAGCAGACGUGGGUAUGGCCAGAUUUCCACUGACACAGAAUGCUGCAGUGUUCCAAUACUGACGCUUAGAGAAGCUCGUCUUUUCAGCCCUUCCCACACGCCACAUAUGGUUCUAGUGGUCAAAAUUGUCUCCUCCAAAGCUACCAUCGUAUUGCAAUUGGAGAUCUAGAAUCACAUGGCUCUCAGUCCUACAAUGACACCAAAAUUUCUGAAGCCAGUUUCACAGGACUCACUUUGGUUGAGCCUGUGAUUGGGUAACUAGUAGAGGGAACUUAUUUUACCCUGCAUUGGGUGAGAAAGGUGAACUUGGUUCGUCUCCGCUAUUCUCAACGGAGAGAUGUCUUUACUAAAUAAUCUUCUGGAUAUUUAUACACGUGAAGUGACACAUCAAUUGAUUUUUCUACUUUCCUUGUUUUCUAAAGUGAUUAACAAAAGUUGUCGAAACGGGUAGAGGGCUAGUGAUUCAAAGCAGCCGUGUUAGGUACUUAAUAUUAGAAUCCACAUGGACAUCUGACUAAGUUGAUGGAUGACAGAAUUAAGUCACCUGUAGAUCAGUUUCUGGGAUUCUUACAGCAGAGAAACUUUGCUGUCAGUAAGACUGACCUGCUUAGAACUCUGCAGGAUUAUGUACCAGAAAGCAGGUUUUCUGCGUUAAACAGGCAUAGAGAAGAGAAGCCAUGCAUGACUGUCCAGAUCUUCACCCUGCUGAAACACCCCACUACUCAAACACCCCAUCACUACUUAGUAUCUUCACUAGCAACAAGACUCGGAGAAGCUGGGCCUUCAAGAUCCCAGAUUAAUCAGUCAAGUGCUUUGACAGCCUGGAACACUCUGGACUAGAUUUUCCGUGUGAAGGCAAGAACCCUUCUCUGUGUCCUGCUUCCCUCCCUAUGGACAGUGGAAAGGGGGAUGAGGGGGCACAGUGCUGCUGUCCCUACUCCUGUGCUUGUUCACUUUUAGGCUUGUUUUCUUGAAGCAGGUGUCUAGGCAGCAUGAUGAGAAAAAUUAUAUAACCGAUACCAAAACUGCAAUAUUAAACUGUGAGGUCGUCACAAUCAAGACAACACAUCAUAAGUUCAAGAGCCUGUCAUUAAGAUGCCGAUUCCGCACCAUUCCCAUAACAGGUGGAGUUUUGUCUUUCCUGAUAAGCCCCAGGAAACUUCCCAAUCCUUCCCUAAUGGCCAUCUAGCUAGCUAGAUUAAAUUUCCUCAGUAUCCCAACCACAAGAACUUCUGCUGAGCAGUCACCUAUCGGGAAAGUACUUCCAGGUCAGUCAACACUGAAGCACUUAAGAUGAGGUUAUUCAUCCCCCCUAGCUCCACAUCCAGGUGAAAGGUG